AAGGACUUGGGACCUGAUAAUGCAAAACACGUAGACAGUGCAACUAAAACUGCAGAGCCUGGAUCAGUUUGGAUGUAAAUAACCCUGCUUGGAAGGCUGGGGUAGAGGCUUGCUACCCUUCUUCAGAUUCAGUGUCAUGGUGACUACCUGGUGAUGGUUAAGGCAAUUCUCACCGUGGUCCAGGAGCUCCUGACACAGGAUGUACUUGCUGGGGCAAACCAAACAGAAGGAGGCUUGCCUGAUGCUUCAGAUGAGCAUAUUCUUGGUUUUGACACAGGAAAUGCAGUUCUCUGUGAAGCUGCUCAAGUUCUGCUGCAAGUAGAAGAACUCGAAGAGCUGCAGACAAAAAUGAAGGCAGCCCGAGUGGCUGUUCAGGCAAUUCUUGCUGAUCCAAGACAGACCCUGAAACCAGAGGAUUGUGGGGAA
rnacentral:lncRNA from 1 species